GUGAGGAAUUUUCCGCAAUGGACGAAAGCCUGACGGAGCAAUGCCGCGUGAAGGAUGAAGGCCUAUGGGUUGUAAACUUCUUUUCUCAGAAAAGAAUUAUGACGGUAUCUGAGGAAUAAGCAUCGGCUAACUCUGUGCCAGCAGCCGCGGUAAGACAGAGGAUGCAAGCGUUAUCCGGAAUGAUUGGGCGUAAAGCGUCUGUAGGUUGUUUAAAAAGUAUUCUGUCAAAGAUUAGGGCUUAACCCUAGAUAGGCAGAAUAAACUUUUAAGCUAGAGUUUGGUAGAGGCAGAGGGAAUUCCCGGUGGAGCGGUGAAAUGCGUAGAUAUCGGGAGGAACACCAAAGGCGAAGGCACUCUGCUGGGCCAAUACUAACACUGAGAGACGAAAGCGAGGGGAGCAAAUGGGAUUAGAAACCCGGGUAGUCC
rnacentral:rRNA from 1 species